CACGAAGCUGGAUUCGCUAGUAAUCGCGCAUCAGCCACGGCGCGGUGAAUACGUUCCCGGGCCUUGUACACACCGCCCGUCAAGCCAUGGGAGCCGGGGGUACCUGAAGUGCGUAACCGCGAGGAGCGCCCUAGGGUAAAACUGGUGACUGGGGCUAAGUCGUAACAAGGUAAC
rnacentral:rRNA from 1 species